rnacentral:rRNA from 1 species
AUGAACUUGUGUGCUAUCCUAUUGAAGACGGUGAACAUGACAAGCGAGGAAGACAUGGCCGACGACAUCUUGAGUAUUAUACAAGCAAUUGAUCCAUUGUACAGGAUCAACGGUCAUUUACCACAAUACUAUGCUGAAAUGAUAGACAAACUGAAGAAACCACCAAGAACACUGAAUGUUGAGGAACUAAGAAAAUUCCACUUGAAGGUGUUGAAAAGACCUGCUUUCGCUACACCUGAACUGAGGUCAUACGGUGUUCAAGAGUUCUACACCAACACCUUGGACCUGGAAUUUGACACUCCUGAAUGGAGGGCCUUUGACAGUUCUGCCCCAGUGCAUUUAGAGGACUGGCAGCACAUCACCAAGGUUGAUGAACUUCUGUUAAAAAAGUUAAUAGAGAGCAGUGGUAUGGAGGACAAAUUUGGGAAGCAGUGCCAUUACAUGCGGCAUCUUGUGGUGCACUCACCUGAGGACAAGGAGAAGAAGUAUCUAUCUGAUAACAAAAAGAAGGCCCAUGAUCCUUUGGCCGCGUCGGCGAGUCACUCUGGAGCUCGCCCCCGCCUCCCUCCUCAGCCCACAAGAAAGGACGCUCUCUUUCCUGCAAUUAUGUCUCAAGCUAAAGCGAAGAAGACAACCCCCAGCAGCUCCUCCGCAGGUCCCCACCCUAAGCCCAAGGUGUUGUUGCUGAUGCCGGAGAGAGACAUGCUGGCCCAUUAUUAUUUCAGAGAAUUUAUGCCUGCAUUUGUUGACCUCUUGUACAAAGAGAAGGAUAAAUAA